rnacentral:rRNA from 1 species
GUAGUUAGCCGUGGCUUCCUCCUUAGGUACCGUCAUUAUCGUCCCUAAAGACAGAGCUUUACAAUCCGAAGACCGUCAUCACUCACGCGGCGUUGCUGCAUCAGGGUUUCCCCCAUUGUGCAAUAUUCCCCACUGCUGCCUCCCGUAGGAGUCUGGGCCGUGUCUCAGUCCCAAUGUGGCCGAUCACCCUCUCAGCUCGGCUACCCAUCGUCGGCUUGGUGGGCUGUUAUCUCACCAACUACCUAAUGGGACGCGAACCCCUCUUACAGCGAUAAAUCUUUGACCUCAUCCCGAUGCCGGGUCGUGGUCUCAUGCGGUAUUAGCACCUGUUUCCAAGUGUUAUCCCCCUCUGUAAGGCAGGUUGUUCACGCGUUACUCACCCGUUCGCCACUAGAAUUAUAAAUUCCAUCCGAAAACUUCCUUCAUAAUCCCCGUUCGACUUGCAUGUGUUAGGCACGCCGCCAGCGUUCGUCCUGAGCCAGGAUCAAACUCUGA